rnacentral:misc_RNA from 1 species
GGAUGAAGAACGUAGCGAAAUGCGAUAAGUAAUGUGAAUUGCAGAAUUCAGUGAAUCAUCGAAUCUUUGAACGCACAUUGCGCCCGCCAGUAUUCUGGCGGGCAUGCCUGUUCGAGCGUCAUUACAACCCUCAGGCCCCCGGGCCUGGCGUUGGGGAUCGGCGGAGCCCCCCGUGGGCACACGCCGUCCCCCAAAUGCAGUGGCGGUCCCGCCGCAGCUUCCAUCGCGUAGUAGCUAACACCUCGCGACUGGAGAGCGGCGCGGCCACGCCGUAAAACACCCAACUCUUCUGAAGUUGACCUCGAAUCAGGUAGGAAUACCCGCUGAACUUAAGCAUAUCAAUAAGCGGAGGA